CCUACGGGGGGCAGCAGUGAGGAAUAUUGGUCAAUGGGCGGGAGCCUGAACCAGCCAAGCCGCGUGAGGGAUGAAGGUCCAGCGUAUCGUAAACCUCUUUUGUCAGGGAACAAAGGCGGGGACUUGUCCCCGGAUGAGGGUACCUGAAGAAAAAGCAUCGGCUAACUCCGUGCCAGCAGCCGCGGUAAUACGGAGGAUGCGAGCGUUAUCCGGGUUUAUGGGGUUUAAAGGGUGCGCAGGCGGCCUGUUAAGUCAGCGGUAAAAGCCCGGGGCUAAACCCCGGCGAGCCGUUGAAACUGGCGGGUUGGAGUUGGAGAGAAGUAUGCGGAAGGCGCGGUGUAGCGGUGAAAUGCUUAGAUAUCGCGCAGAACCCCGAUUGCGAAGGCAGCGUACCGGCUCCACACUGACGCUGAGGCACGAAAGCGUGGGUAUCGAACAGGAUUAGAUACCCCUGUAGUC
rnacentral:rRNA from 1 species